rnacentral:rRNA from 1 species
UUCCAGACUCCUACGGGAGGCAGCAGUGAGGAAUAUUGGUCAAUGGGCGCGAGCCUGAACCAGCCAAGUCGCGUGAGGGAGGACGGCCCUACGGGUUGUAAACCUCUUUUGCCGGGGAGCAACGGGCGUCACGUGUGGCGCCACUGAGAGUACCCGGAGAAAAAGCAUCGGCUAACUCCGUGCCAGCAGCCGCGGUAAUACGGAGGAUGCGAGCGUUAUCCGGAUUUACUGGGUGUAAAGGGAGCGCAGGCGGCACGGCAAGCCUGAUGUGAAAGCCCGCGGCCCAACCGCGGGACUGCAUUGGGAACUACCGGGCUGGAGUGCCGGAGAGGUAGGCGGAAUUCCUAGUGUAGCGGUGAAAUGCGUAGAUAUUAGGAGGAACACCAGUGGCGAAGGCGGCCUACUGGACGGUGACUGACGCUGAGGCUCGAAAGCGUGGGGAGCAAACAGGAUUAGAUACCCCCGUAGA